UACAGAGGUCUCAAGCGUUGUUCGGAUUCAUUGGGCGUAAAGGGCGCGUAGGCGGUGGGGUAAGUCUGGUGUGAAAUCUCGGAGCUCAACUUCGAAAUUGCACUGGAUACUGCUCUGCUAGAGGGCUGGAGAGGAGAUCGGAAUUCACGGUGUAGCAGUGAAAUGCGUAGAUAUCGUGAGGAAGACCAGUGGCGAAGGCGGAUCUCUGGACCACAACUGACGCUGAGGCGCGAAAGCUAGGGGAGCAAACAGG
rnacentral:rRNA from 1 species